CAGAUACUCAACUGCUGAGCCACCCAGGUGUUCCAUUAUAAUUAAAUUUAAAUGAGGUUAUUAGACAGGCCCUAAUCCAAGAUGACUGUUGUCCUUAUAAGAAGAGCAAAUUUGGACACAGAUAUGGACAAAAGGAAGAAGUGAAGACACAGGAGAAGAUGGCCAUCUCUUGGCCAUUUAAGGAGAGAUGCCUGGAGCAGAUCCUUCCUUCAGGGCCCUCAGAGGGAACCAACCCUGCUGACACCUUGAUCUUGGACUUCCAACCUUCAGAACUGAGUUAAUGGAUUCUCCGAAUCAGCCCAUCCAUGGAUCUUCCAAAGCCAGUGAUUUCCAUGAUGUAUGGAACUUGCCAUCCCAAAGAAAGUUGCAAGCUCUCGAACAGAAGAGACCUCAGCUUAACUCUUUCUGUAUCCUGCCCAAUGCCCCAAGACCCCAUCCAUUAAGUUCUCACUGAUUGUCAAAACUCCUUGAGAUUCCCGAAGGAGGAGUCCUGGGAAAAUCUACAACCCAACCAAUGUUGGGAGACUUUGUUUUGUUUCUUCUUCUAUUACCAACAGGAUCAAGCAACAUUGCCUUGUUAUGACUGAUGGAAUUCCAUUCCCCCUCCUCCAUUCAUCUACUAUUGGGGGCACUUAGCCACCAAGGUCCACCUCUGGGAGGAGGUAGAAAGAAUCACCAGGGCUUCCAGCUUUCCUGCCCCGGUUCCAGCGGCUACACACAUGCUGCCAAUUGAAAGACGAUGUGUGUGUUGGCAUGGCUAUACCUCUGCGUUAGCAAGUGUGAAUUUGGAAUUCCAAUCUGAUUGACUAAGUAACUUUGACUCUAAUUAGAACAGUAGGGUUUGUUCUUAAUCUGCAACCAUUUAAUCUUCUGUCUCAUUAAUUGUACAAAGGUCUUUAUGAAUAUGUAGAUCGAGAGGGGAAUAAAAGAUUAUUUGACCUUGAA